rnacentral:rRNA from 1 species
GACGAACGCUGGCGGCGUGCUUAACACAUGCAAGUCGAACGGAAAGGCCCUGCUUUUGUGGGGUGCUCGAGUGGCGAACGGGUGAGUAACACGUGAGUAACCUGCCCUUGACUUUGGGAUAACUUCAGGAAACUGGGGCUAAUACCGGAUAGGAGCUCCUGCUGCAUGGUGGGGGUUGGAAAGUUUCGGCGGUUGGGGAUGGACUCGCGGCUUAUCAGCUUGUUGGUGGGGUAGUGGCUUACCAAGGCUUUGACGGGUAGCCGGCCUGAGAGGGUGACCGGCCACAUUGGGACUGAGAUACGGCCCAGACUCCUACGGGAGGCAGCAGUGGGGAAUAUUGCACAAUGGGCGGAAGCCUGAUGCAGCAACGCCGCGUGCGGGAUGACGGCCUUCGGGUUGUAAACCGCUUUCGCCUGUGACGAAGCGUGAGUGACGGUAAUGGGUAAAGAAGCACCGGCUAACUACGUGCCAGCAGCCGCGGUGAUACGUAGGGUGCGAGCGUUGUCCGGAUUUAUUGGGCGUAAAGGGCUCGUAGGUGGUUGAUCGCGUCGGAAGUGUAAUCUUGGGGCUUAACCCUGAGCGUGCUUUCGAUACGGGUUGACUUGAGGAAGGUAGGGGAGAAUGGAAUUCCUGGUGGAGCGGUGGAAUGCGCAGAUAUCAGGAGGAACACCAGUGGCGAAGGCGGUUCUCUGGGCCUUUCCUGACGCUGAGGAGCGAAAGCGUGGGGAGCGAACAGGCUUAGAUACCCUGGUAGUCCACGCUGUAAACGGUGGGUACUAGGUGUGGGGUCCAUUCCACGGGUUCCGUGCCGUAGCUAACGCUUUAAGUACCCCGCCUGGGGAGUACGGCCGCAAGGCUAAAACUCAAAGGAAUUGACGGGGCCCCGCACAAGCGGCGGAGCAUGCGGAUUAAUUCGAUGCAACGCGUAGAACCUUACCUGGGUUUGACAUGGAUCGGGAGCGCUCAGAGAUGGGUGUGCCUCUUUUGGGGUCGGUUCACAGGUGGUGCAUGGCUGUCGUCAGCUCGUGUCGUGAGAUGUUGGGUUAAGUCCCGCAACGAGCGCAACCCUUGUUCACUGUUGCCAGCACGUUAUGGUGGGGACUCAGUGGAGACCGCCGGGGUCAACUCGGAGGAAGGUGGGGAUGACGUCAAGUCAUCAUGCCCCUUAUGUCUAGGGCUUCACGCAUGCUACAAUGGCUGGUACAGAGAGUGGCGAGCCUGUGAGGGUGAGCGAAUCUCGGAAAGCCGGUCUCAGUUCGGAUUGGGGUCUGCAACUCGACCUCAUGAAGUCGGAGUCGCUAGUAAUCGCAGAUCAGCAACGCUGCGGUGAAUACGUUCCCGGG